AAAGUCAUAACAAGGUUUCCGUAGGUGAACCUGCGGAAGGAUCAUUAAUGAAAUCGAUGGCUCUGAUUGGCCGCAAGGCCAUUUCAGGUGCUGAUCACACACACUGUGCACAUUGGCUUCGGCCAGCUUUAUAAACUUAGUGUAUGAAUGUCAUUAUAUUUUAACAAAUAAAACUUUCAACAACGGAUCUCUUGGCUCUC
rnacentral:misc_RNA from 1 species